GGCAGCAGUAGGGAAUAUUGCGCAAUGGGGGAAACCCUGACGCAGCAACGCCGCGUGGAGGAUGACACUUUUCGGAGCGUAAACUCCUUUUCUUAGGGAAGAAUUCUGACGGUACCUAAGGAAUAAGCACCGGCUAACUCCGUGCCAGCAGCCGCGGUAAUACGGAGGGUGCAAGCGUUACUCGGAAUCACUGGGCGUAAAGGGCGCGUAGGCGGAUUAUCAAGUCUCUUGUGAAAUCUAAUGGCUUAACCAUUAAACUGCUUGGGAAACUGAUAGUCUAGAGUGAGGGAGAGGUAGAUGGAAUUGGUGGUGUAGGGGUAAAAUCCGUAGAUAUCACCAAGAAUACCCAUUGCGAAGGCGAUCUGCUGGAACUCAACUGACGCUAAGGCGCGAAAGCGUGGGGAGCAAACAGGAUUAGAUACCCUGGUAGUCCACGCCCUAAACGAUGUACACUAGUUGUUGGGAUGCUAGUCAUCUCAGUAAUGCAGCUAACGCAUUAAGUGUACCGCCUGGGGAGUACGGUCGCAAGAUUAAAACUCAAAGGAAUAGACGGGGACCCGCACAAGCGGUGGAGCAUGUGGUUUAAUUCGAAGAUACGCGAAGAACCUUACCUGGGCUUGAUAUCCUAAGAACCUUAUAGAGAUAUGAGGGUGCUAGCUUGCUAGAACUUAGAGACAGGUGCUGCACGGCUGUCGUCAGCUCGUGUCGUGAGAUGUUGGGUUAAGUCCCGCAACGAGCGCAACCCACGUAUUUAGUUGCUAACGGUUCGGCCGAGCACUCUAAAUAGACUGCCUUCGUAAGGAGGAGGAAGGUGUGGACGACGUCAAGUCAUCAUGGCCCUUAUGCCCAGGGCGACACACGUGCUACAAUGGCAUAUACAAUGAGACGCAAUACCGCGAGGUGGAGCAAAUCUAUAAAAUAUGUCCCAGUUCGGAUUGUUCUCUGCAACUCGAGAGCAUGAAGCCGGAAUCGCUAGUAAUCGUAGAUCAGCCAUGCUACGGUGAAUACGUUCCCGGGUCUUGUACUCACCGCCCGUCACACCAUGGGAGUUGAUUUCACUCGAAGCCGGAAUACUAAACUAGUUACCGUCCACAGUGGAAUCAGCGACUGGGGUGAAGUCGUAACAAGGUAACCGUAGGAGAACCUGCGGUUGGAUCACCUCCUUUCUA
rnacentral:rRNA from 1 species